AUGACCCAAGAACGGGAGCCGCUCCUGCAGCAAAACGGGGGCGUCGGCAAUGCCGCCGCCGGGAGCAAGGGCUCGCCGGCCGUUCUGCCGUCCCUGGCCAGGUCCGUGCUCAAGUUCCUCAUGUGGGCGGUGUUCCUCACCUGGGCCGCGGGGAUCUUCUUCUACCCCACCGCGCCCGUGCAGACGGCGUUCCGCAAGUGGGCGGACAUCACCAGCACGGAGGGCCUGAUCACCGGCCUCACUGGGACCGUUUUUCUUUUCUUCAGCGGGCCGAUUCUGCUAAUUGCAGCUCUGGCAUAUGUGUACAUCUUCGCCUUCCCGGGUGAUCACGUCCAAAAGAAGAAGCUGAGGUCACUGAGUUUCCGUCUCUGGACUUUUCCGGUUCUUGUUGAUGGUCCACUCGGUGUUGUCUCCGCUGUUGAGUUUAUCGGAAUCGUCUUGUUCAUCGUCUAUAUUGUCUUCUCGAUGACCUAUUAUGUUGUAGACAGUGUGAGCUUCAUCUCCAAAGCGCACUUGCCCCCAACUACUCGCAGUGAGUUGUUACUGGCUCUCAUAGGCCUCCGUUUCGGAUCAGUUGGCUUGUUUUGCAUGAUCUUCCUGUUCCUGCCCGUCUCAAGGGGUUCAGUUCUUCUCCGGCUUAUCGACAUUCCAUUUGAGCAUGCUACUAGAUACCAUGUCUGGUUGGGGCAUCUCACAAUGGCUCUCUUUACGCUGCACGGCUUGUGUUAUGUGAUCUCAUGGUCCCUCCUGGGGCGCCUAAUUGAAGAACUGAUCCAAUGGAAAGAAGUCGGAAUAGCAAACUUAGCCGGCGUGAUCAGCUUGGCGGCUGGUCUGCUGAUGUGGGUGACAUCGCUUCACCCGGUACGGAAGAGGUUCUUCGAGCUCUUCUUCUACACCCACCAGCUCUACGUGGUUUUCGUGGUGUUCUUGGUGCUCCACGUCGGCGACUUCGUCUUCAGCAUCUCGGCCGGCGCUGUCUUCCUCUUCAUGCUCGACCGCUUCCUGAGGUUCUGGCAAUCGAGGACCAAAGUCGACAUCGUUUCUGCGGCCUGCCGGCCAUGCGGAACGGUGGAGCUAGUCUUCUCAAAGCCACCAAGUCUUCGGUACAAUGCUCUCAGUUUCAUCUUUGUUCAAGUGCGUGAGCUGUCGUUCUUGCAGUGGCACCCGUUCAGCGUGUCCUCCAGCCCUAUGGAUGGGAGGUACCACAUGUCGAUCCUCAUAAAGGUUCUUGGCACAUGGACUGAUACGCUGAAGCGCAUCAUCGCCGAUGUCCAAGAGCAGAAGACCAGGAGCGACUCUGACUCUGAUCAGUCGCAAACUGGUCGCAUUACCGCCUCCAUCGAAGGGCCGUAUGGGCACGAAUCACCCUACCACCUGAUGUAUGAGAAUCUCAUCCUGGUGGCAGGAGGCAUUGGCAUUUCGCCAUUCUUGGCAAUUUUGAGCGAUAUUAUCCACAGGAUCGGGCAAGGUAUGCCAUGCGCGCCCAAGAAUGUACUGGUUCUGUGGUCAGUUAAGAAGACCUCGGAGCUUUCUCUCCUGUUGGCCGUCGAUGCUCAGUCCAUCAGCUCAUCCGUCUGUGACAAGUUGCAUCUGGACAUCCAAGCCUUUGUGACGCAGGAAUCCGAUCCUCCACUGGAAGAUGGCAUUGUUGGGGAUGACCAGAAGGCCCCCGGCAUAUUCGUCAAGAACGGGACGGCCAUGUCCGGGCUGGUGGGCACCGGGGACAACUUCUGGGCGGCCAUGUACUUCGCCGCGUCCACCCUGGGCUCCGUCCUGGCGUUCGUGCUGGUGCAGCUGUACUAUGUGAAGCGGUACAACGUGUACGCCUGGUGGUACCUGGGCCUCCUGCUCCUGCUGUGCAUGGCAGCCGGCAUCACGCUCCCCGGCGGGCUCGUCGUCCUCCUCUGGCACCUCUCGGAGAAGCGGAGGAUGCAGGACGACAGGUGGGACGUCGACGCCCGUGCCGGGGCGGACGCCGAACAGACAACGAACGCUGCUGGUGGAGCCGACGCCUCCGCGGCCAGCCUCGCCGCCAUGCGGACGACGCGGUACGGGUGCCGGCCAAAGUUCCAUGCGGAAUUCGCGGCGUUCGCGGAGCGGGCCGGGGGCGCGGCGGCCGACGUCGGCGUGCUGGUGUGCGGGCCGGCGGGGCUGCAGGCCAGCGUGGCGAGGGAGUGCAGGUCGCAGAACCUUCGCCGCGGCGGCGCCGUGUUCCAUUUCAACAGCCACAGCUUCGAUCUCUAG
rnacentral:rRNA from 1 species